UGGGGAAUUUUGCACAAUGGGGGAAACCCUGAUGCAGCGACGCCGCGUGAUUUAGAAGGCCUUCGGGUUGUAAAAAUCUUUUGUAUGGGAAGAAAAUGACAGUACCAUACGAAUAAGGACCGGCUAACUACGUGCCAGCAGCCGCGGUAAUACGUAGGUUCCGAGCGUUGUCCGGAUUUAUUGGGCGUAAAGCGAGCGCAGGCGGUUAGAAAAGUCUGAAGUGAAAGUCAGUGGCUCAACCAUUGUAGGCUUUGGAAACUGUUUAACUUGAGUGCAGAAGGGGUGAUUGGAAUUCCAUGUGUAGCGGUGAAAAGCGUAGAUAUAUGGAGGAACACCGGUGGCGAAAGCGGCUCUCUGGUCUGUAACUGACGCUGAGGCUCGAAAGCGUGGGGAGCGAACAGG
rnacentral:rRNA from 1 species